GGACUGAGAAAGGAGGAGGGGGGACUGGAUGCGCCCACGGCUCGCCCUCUCUUCCGUCUGAUCACACGGUAGGACACGCGAUCGGAUGCGCUGCGCACUGGCGGCGACAGCAGCCGGGAUAAAGUGAAAGAGGAGAAGAAACCACAGGGAUGCCCACAUGAGAGCAGCAUUGCUGUCAGAACCACUUCUUUCUGAGAGAAUCUGCCAAAGGAUAAAUUGGAACUGCUCCCAUGGCUUCAAACUCAGACUUCUAAAUCCAUGGAGCUAAAAACAGCAAAACAACACAAUCCCUGGCAAACAUAAGUGGACCACUUCAGAAGAAAAAAAACACGGCUGGACAGUGGGAGGGUUGUAUGGGGUCCAAAUCCCUAUCCAAGACAUCUUGCAUCUCUUUAGUCCACAGCCGCCUCUUACCUCCUACUUUUACUCUAUUCUCCUGCUCUGCCUUUUUCCUAUUCUCCGUCUUUCUCUCUCAUGGGAGUGACAUAGAAGCUUUGCUUGGUCUUUUGCCCCGUCCUUUUCCUGCAUUCUUCAGGAAACAGGGACAUCCAGGUAGUGAUGUCGUGGAAGAGGAACUAUUUUGCCUCCGGUGGUGGAGCGGCUGCCGGGGUGCAGGGGCUGGUCACCCCGAGAACCAUGAACUCUAUUGCGCCCAGCAAAGGCCUGAGCAAUGAACCCGGACAAAACAGCUGCUUCCUCAACAGCGCUCUCCAGGUUUUGUGGCAUCUUGACAUCUUCAGGAGAAGCUUUCGUCAGCUGACCACUCACAAGUGCAUGGAGGACUCAUGUAUCUUCUGUGCUCUAAAGAGCAUCUUUGCUCAGUUCCAGUUCAGCAGCGAGCGUGUUCUGCCGUCGGACGCACUGCGGAGCGCUCUGGCCAAGACUUUCCAAGACGAACAGCGGUUUCAGCUGGGCAUCAUGGACGACGCUGCUGAAUGUUUUGAGAAUCUGCUGAUGCGUAUCCACUUCCACAUCAGCGCAGAGAGCAGGGAGGACAUCUGCACAGCCAAACACUGCAUCCCUCACCAGAAGUUUGCCAUGACUCUUUUUGAACAAUGUGUGUGCAGCAGCUGUGGAGCCUCAUCGGACCCCCUGCCCUUCAUUCAGAUGGUUCAUUACAUCUCAACCACGUCUCUCUGUAACCAGGCAGUGAGAAUGCUGGAGUGCAGAGAGAAACCAACGCCGGACAUGUUUGGAGAGCUGCUGCGCAAUGCCAGCAACAUGGGAGACCUUCGCAACUGCCCUAGUAACUGUGGGGAGGUUCUGCGUAUCCGACGGGUGCUGAUGAACUCACCAGAAAUAGUGUCCAUCGGGCUGGUGUGGGACUCGGAUCAUUCUGACCUAGCAGAGGACGUCAUCCACAGCCUGGGAACAUGCUUGCGUCUGGGAGAUUUGUUUUACCGUGUUACAGAGGAAAGGGCUCGCCAGGCGGAGCUCUACUUGGUGGGCAUGGUGUGCUACUACGGCAAGCACUACUCCACCUUCUUCUUCCAGACCAAGAUACGCAAGUGGAUGUACUUUGACGACGCCCACGUCAAAGAGAUCGGCCCAAAGUGGAAGGACGUAGUGUCUCGCUGUAUUAAAGGCCACUACCAGCCCCUGUUGCUGCUCUACGCUGACCCCCGUGGGACGCCGGUGAUACUGCAGGAGAGCCCCAACCCGUGUACUGGCUCCAACCCGCAGCUGGAGCUCCAGCACUGCAGCAGCAAAGCUGGUUACGACAGUGAGGACUCAGGUCGGGAGCCAUCCAUAUCCAGCGACACUCGCACCGACUCUUCGACGGACAGCUCGAGCCACCGUACGUCCCGCAGCCGACCCUUGCACCAGUCCACGGGCAGCCGGCUCUCCAGUGAAUCCCAGACUACAGUGGUCUGUAGCCACGACACACCGCCACUUAGUGCUGACACUGGAGAGUCAGCAGUGGAUCCUCCAACCCGCCACCCCUCUCCUCCCCUGCAGGAGUACAAGGAGACGGCAGUCUUCCUCCUGUCUUCACGCAGGCCCCUCACCUCCUCCUCCUCGUCCUCCCGCCCCCUCUCGUCUUCGUCUUCGUCUGGAGUCGGGGGCUGCGAGGGCGGGGCUGGGGGUCCCCACUGGGAGGAUGAAAGCACCAGCAGUGAGAGCAAGUCCAGUUCUUCUGGAAGCCGUUAUCGGCCAACCUGGAGGCCCAGGAGGGAGGCUCUGAACAUUGACAGUAUCUUCACCCGACAAAGAGACUCCUCUCUGGGCUACAGCACUGCACCAGGGUCCUCUCUUCUUCCUGAGCCUCAGCAGUCCCUCCCCUUUGUGGGACCACAAUCAGGACUGGAAAACACAGAGGGAAGGGAGACCAGGGAGGCCGGGUUUGGGCUGGUUGGUCAGCCCAGGUUUUCCAGUGCAGGGCGGACUAUGGGUCCUCCUGUUCCUCCACCUCUGAGAGGGGUGGAGCACCAGCCACGUCUGAUCCAGAGAAUGGAGAGUGGCUACGAAAGCAGUGAGAGGAACAGCAGCAGCCCUGACAGGGAGGUGGGGCAACAAAAACGGGUGCUGAUGUCAGGACCGUCAUGGCGAUCGGUGCCCAAGUCGAAAAGCAGUGGUGCUAUCACACAGGAGCUGCCACACCCCUGCUGGGUAGGCGGCUGUGCCACAGGCGCUGGCCGCAGUGAGCUUGAUGAGCUGCAGGAGGAGGUGGCGAGGAGAGCCCGCCAGCAGGAGCAGCAAAAACGCAAGGAGGCUGAGCAGGAAGCAGCCAUGGGAUUCAACCCCAGACCCAGCAAGUUCAUGGAUCUGGACCAGCUGCAACACCAGGCUGUGCUAAGACCCCUGCAUGAGGCUAACGCUCAUAGUGGAUUGGCUGUAGCUGCGUGCAUGAGGAGCACUGGGGGCCCAAUCAAACGCAGGCAGGAACAGGAAAUGGAACAGGACGCGGGACGCGCCCAUCCACAGGGGCCUCGCAGUGAACAACCUGGCUCGGUCCAAGUACUGCUGACGCCCAAUCAGGAAGAGGAAGAAGACGAGUCGACGACCAGCCGACACGCUGCUCAGGGUCAAAGCCCACCCCCACCUCCUCCACCUUACCACCCCUCUCUCCCUCGACCAACGCUCACCCUUAGUAUUAGUCACCCCUGCAGCCCGUCCAGUCAAAGGGAGGAGGAGGAGAAACGAGAUGAGGAGUGUGAGGAUGGAAGCGAGGGGAUGGGGGUGAGGCUAUGUGAGUUACUGCAGGCUGGGGGUGUGAGUGUCAGACCUCUAGGCAAGCACUUGGCCAUCUCUCUACCCUCACUUCCUCUUCGUCUCUGGGAUACACACACCUCACACUCUGCGCACAACCCGCCACCGCCCUGUUCUCCUCCCCCAUCAACCCCUCCAGAAUAUUACGGGCAAAGGAAACACCUCACGCCGCUCUGGCAGCCGCCACGACCACAUUCUCCCGAUAAUAGGUCUCCCCAUUGGCAACAGCACGCAGUCCUUGCAGACGGAAGCACGCGUCACUGGUCCUCUUGGAGUCUGGACCGCCCGGAUGCUGUGGUAACGCCAUAUGACACGCCCCCGGACCGCUGCUUUCCCAUCAGACCACAGAAUCUUGGUCAGAGCUGCAGCUACAGUUCUCAGUCUUCUCCAGGGCACUACAGCUCCCAGCAUACCCCUGGGCAGCAGGGUGAUGUCCGCUGUGAACGUGAAGAGACUGAGCUGUCUGAGCUGGACUCCCUUUAUCAGGCCAGUCUGCAGGCUGGGAGAACAGGCUGCAGCCCAUCUGAGAGGCUGAUAUCCAGGAUGGGAGUUCAGACGCGCUCCAAGACCCCCAGCGCAGACAUGGAGAGGAGCGCGUAUGGGGCACACAGCACCAGCAGCCCCACCUACCUCAACAAGCCAGUGACGCUGCGGGUGGAGCCUGAUGAUGGGGAGAACCAGAGGCGAAUUGGACGCAGCCUGAGCGGCACGGUGGUGACCUCCCGCCGCAGCCGCCUCACUGCAACCCGCAGCUUUGUGAAGCAGGCUGAUGUCAGUGCCUCUCCUUGCUUACUUCCUCUCUUCUGAGUCCCUGUUGCUAUUCCACCACCAUCACUUCCUCCAUCCUCAUAAUCAACACCUCCUCAUCACCACUUCCCUUCACUGCUUUACAGGAGCUGUCGGGUGGUGCUGGAAGUUUCUGGCUGUGUCUGACAGGAGUCAAGCUGUCCUCGGACCAGAGCCCUGCUCUGUUUCACUGAUAUCCCACCCCUGCCCUCCUCUGUAACCUCCCCACGGGACGGC